GCCUGCACAGCAAUGGGAUCUCUUCCCUAGCCCUGUGAAGCAGUGAGAAGUUUGUGACCUGAAGUAGAAUUUUUCUAUUGUGCAGAGAGACCUGAACUGUAUUUAGGGAUUAAGAAGCAGUGGUAGUCAUUAAAUUUUUAAUGAGCAGAAAUGAUUGCACAUCGCUUUGGUUGUCAGAUUUGCCUUUGUUUUUGUGGUGUUCUGCCCGCGUCCCCCCCUCCCCCCCAUUUUUUUUUUUUUUUUUUUUUUAGGUUUGUGGGCAUACAAAGACUUUCAGGAAUGCGGCUCUGCUGUCAACUAACUUUCUUACAGCUAUGAAAAAUACAUCCUCAUGUUGUAGACCAGAAAAGGAGUGUGAUACUGUAGGAAAUGUUCCUUUGCUGAAAACUGAGUAAAAGGGCUAAGCUUUUGGAAAAGGAGCAACGCCAUUAAGAUGGACGGUCUCCAGCAGAAGAAGGAAGAGCAUAGAACAUAUCAGAAAAAAACUUUGCCGUAAUGGUAGGAUAGGUUUCAGACCUCCUAAGGUCAAACCUGGAGUCCUGACCCAUACCUCGGAGCAGCAGCAAGAACCGUCCAAGAGUUUAAUCCUCAAGCACUGCAGGUCUAAUUCCAUCCAGCCUGGAUUCCCAGUGUUUGUUCAAGACUACCCAGGGAACCUGACUCCCUCCUGGCACUGGAAGUUCAAAGACACAAAGAUGUUUAAAAACAACAACAAAAGGGAACGGCAGCACUCUGAAACACCGAGCAAGUUUGGAGUAGAGCUGAAGCUGGCAGCGGCCUCAUCUGGCUCGUGUUUUGCACUCCGGAGGGAGAGGCCUGCCACUCUUAACCCUUCCGGAGGGCGUAAAGGCAGGUGUGAAAACUGUGAAGAAGCAGUUUUUUGUCAGACGCUUCUUCCUUGCUCCCUCCAGCCUCACUCGCCAACAGCUGCACUUCUACAAGCACUGUGGUAAAAGUAUUCAUUUGCUCUGUGGUUUUGAACCGUCAGUUCUCACAGAGCUGACCAGUGCGUUAGGAGCACUGGGAAACUGAGUGUAAUCUUUGUUUUCUGUAAUAUGAGAUGUUUGUGUGUUAUCUCUAACAACUUACCUCGUGUGCUGAGUGGUAUCAGUUUUAAAAAAUUGAAAGAAUUAACUGCAGAAACUCCUUUCCCUGUAAAGCACUGAAACACAGGCUUAUAGCCAGCAGCAGCUUACAGUCAGUGCACGUAUGUAGUAGCGCAUGUCUGCUGCAUGACCUGGCUGCACAGUUGUCAUUUGUAGCCUUUGAUGACUCAUUAAGUCAUUUUUAGCUCUGUUGGGUUACUUCUGUCACAGAUUGAUUGUUAAUAGUAUGCAAAACCAGAGGCAGAACAUGUUAGGGGAUUCUUCUUUUACAGGUAAAGCAGCAGAGUAGGUGCUGAUUAGGUGCAGUCAUCUGCUUUCAUCUUUCUGGCAAAGGAAGUAGUCUUGCCAAAUACCAUCGUCCUGCUAAGAUUCAUCAAUACACUACUGGAGAGGAGGCCUUCCAAUCAUCCGUGGAAUUUAAUUUUUACCCUCUGUGUAAUUAAAUUGCUACUCUGAAGAUUUGUGCUAAGCAUAGGGGAAUAAUUUAGACACACAAAGUAAUAAAGCUUCCAGAUGGUAAAUUCA
rnacentral:lncRNA from 1 species